AGAACGAACGCUGGCGGCAUGCCUAAUACAUGCAAGUCGAACGAACUCUUCGGAGUUAGUGGCGCACGGGUGCGUAACGCGUGGGAAUCUGCCCUUGGGUUCGGAAUAACAGUUGGAAACGACUGCUAAUACCGGAUGAUGACGAAAGUCCAAAGAUUUAUCGCCCAGGGAUGAGCCCGCGUAGGAUUAGCUAGUUGGUGAGGUAAAGGCUCACCAAGGCGACGAUCCUUAGCUGGUCUGAGAGGAUGAUCAGCCACACUGGGACUGAGGCACGGCCAGACUCCUACGGGAGCAG
rnacentral:rRNA from 1 species